ACAUACGAUUCCGGAGAGGGAGCCUGAGAAACGGCUACCACAUCCAAGGAAGGCAGCAGGCGCGCAAAUUACCCAAUCCCGACACGGGGAGGUAGUGACAAUAAAUAACAAUACGGGGCUCUUUCGGGUCUCGUAAUUGGAAUGAGUACAAUUUAAAUCCCUUAACGAGGAACAAUUGGAGGGCAAGUCUGGUGCCAGCAGCCGCGGUAAUUCCAGCUCCAAUAGCGUAUAUUAAAGUUGUUGCAGUUAAAAAGCUCGUAGUUGAAUUUCGGGAUUGACACAUCGGUCGUGCCUUAAGGGGUAUGAACUGGUGUAGUCAAUUUCUCACCUUCUGGAGAACCGCGAUGCCCUUAAUUGGGUGUCACGGGGAACCAGGACCUUUACUUUGAAAAAAUUAGAGUGUUUAAAGCAGGCAUUUUGCUUGAAUACAUUAGCAUGGAAUAAUAAAAUAGGACGGCAUGAUUCUAUUUUGUUGGUUUCUAGGAUCACCGUAAUGAUUAAUAGGGAUAGUUGGGGGCAUUAGUAUUCAAUUGUCAGAGGUGAAAUUCUUGGAUUUAUUGAAGACUAACUACUGCGAAAGCAUUUGCCAAGGAUGUUUUCAUUAAUCAAGAACGAAAGUUAGGGGAUCGAAGACGAUCAGAUACCGUCGUAGUCUUAACCAUAAACUAUGCCGACUAGGAAUCAGACGAUGUUAAUUUUUUAAUGAC
rnacentral:rRNA from 1 species